UAAAUUUAUUAAUCUUAUCCGAGUUUUAGUACUUUAAAAAAAACUAGCAAUAAAAUAUAGAAAUCGCUUGACAAUUAUAUAUUAUAACCUCUAAUUUCCAUGUGUUUAUAUAACCCUAGACAGCAACAUAUUCUCUCGUAUAUAGACCUCAUGUGGCAGACCGGGAUAAAAAUAUUAUUUUAAUUGUAGAUACAUGACAAAUCUUUCCGCAUGCUAUUUCUCAGCGUUUUGACACUUGAUAAUAUUUAUAUAUUACUUAACAACAAAACAUUUAGCUGUAUACCUCGAAUAUAUAAGUUUUAGAUAUAUAACACUAAUGCUAUUUCAUAUAGUAUCAGAUUUUUUACUCCUCUAGGAGCUAAAUUAAAGAAAUCACUUGACAAUAACAGCAAAAUGCUAUAGCUGUGCAAUGAAAACUCCAAACAACAACAUAUUCUCUUGUAUAUAGCCCUAAUUAUUGUAUCACACACGUGGGGAGAACGCUAAAAAAUGCGUAGUCAGCAAGUUUCGCCCGAUCGUGUUUAAACCUGCCCGCGUGACGUCAUUGCAUAUAAUUAUGACGUAUGUUAAUGAGUGACGUCAUUACGCACCCUCAUUUGUAUGAAUAUUAAUUAACGCACCCUCAGCAUCCUUACGCACCCUCAUUUGUAUGAAUAUUAAUUAGCGCACCCUUACGCACCCUUACGCACCCUCAAAAAUCCGGGUCGAACGGUACCUAUAUUACUACUCACCUUAUAUGUAUAUAACUGGUAUAUUCAUUAGGUUCUAUGCAAUGUAGUUAAUCCAGAAUGCAUACAUUAUAGUAAGAUUUGUUAUAUCAUAAUUUUACUGUUGAUUAGGAGUACAGCCGCUGAGCCGCUUGCAUGCUUUCAAUACUCUUUUAUUAUCUUGGUAUAUAGGCUAAUAAUAUCUUGUCUCUACAACUAUCUUAAUAACUAAUAUAAUUAUUAUCAAUAUUAUGAACAUUGGACAUUACACUUUAGUAAUUUACAAAUUAUUAUUACACUUUUGUAUCAUACAAUUUGCAGAAUAUUUGAUUUUUGUACAGAACAGUUUUAUAGUUUGUAAUAGAUAAUACACCCUUCCGGAAAGUACUUAGCCGUGGUUAUGGAGCCUCGUUUCCUUGUGUGAGACAUUGGCGAGUCUAUCUUGUUGCUGAUUACAAAAUUAUCAAAAGGUCUUUAAUAUUCACUAGUGAUAUAUGCAACUGUAUGGUUUCGUAAAUAUGUCACCUGUAGCAAGAUAGAGAGGUCUAAACCCAACAUCUCAAUCACGAAAACGAGGCUCUAUAGCCAAAAGUGAGCACUUUCCGUAUGGUAAGCAUGCAGUAUAAUUUAUAUAUCGUAUUCGGGGGUUCUACCGCAGUAAUUUCAUGUGUAACAAUAAUACAUGUAUAUAUCUCAGUGUAUUAAAAUAUUCAGAUUAAUUUCUUUGUAGUUUUACAUGGCGCAUAAUGAAAU